rnacentral:rRNA from 1 species
CCUACGGGUGGCAGCAGUGAGGAAUAUUGGUCAAUGGUCGAGAGCCUGAACCAGCCAAGCCGCGUGAGGGAUGAAGGAUCUGUGUAUCGUAAACUUCUUUUGUCUGGGAACAAAGUCAGGGACGUGUUCCUGGUUGUAUGUACCAGAUGAAUAAGCAUCGGCUAACUCCGUGCCAGCAGCCGCGGUAAUACGGAGGAUGCGAGCGUUAUCCGGAUUUAUUGGGUUUAAAGGGUGCGUAGGCGGUUCAUUGAGUCAGCGGUGAAAGUUUGUGGCUCAACCAUAGAACUGCCGUUGAAACGGGUAGUCUCGAGUAGAAUUGAGGUAGGCGGAAUGCGUGGUGUAGCGGUGAAAUGCAUAGAUAUCACGCAGAACUCCGAUUGCGAAGGCAGCUUAC